rnacentral:rRNA from 1 species
CCCUUAGAUGUUCUGGGCUGCACGCGCGCUACACUGACACACUCAGCGAGUCUCCUGGCCCGAGAGGGUUGGGUAAUCAUGUGAGCGUGUGUCGUGAUGGGGAUAGAAUAUUGUAAUUAUUGCUCUUCAACGAGGAAUUCCUAGUAAACGCAAGUCAUCAGCUUGCAUUGAUUACGUCCCUGCCCUUUGUACACACCGCCCGUCGCACCUACCGAUUGAAUGGUCCGGUGAAAUCUCCGGACUGGCGUGAGUCGGAGCAAUCUGACAAACACCGGAAAGUUGAUUAAACCUUACCAUUUAGAGGAAGGUGAANUCGUANCA